rnacentral:rRNA from 1 species
UAACGCGUAGGUAACCUACCUCAUAGCGGGGGAUAACUAUUGGAAGCGAUAGCUAAUACCGCAUAAGAGAGACUAACGCAUGUUAGUAAUUUAAAAGGGGCAAUUGCUCCACUAUGAGAUGGACCUGCGUUGUAUUAGCUAGUUGGUGAGGUAAAGGCUCACCAAGGCGACGAUACAUAGCCGACCUGAGAGGGUGAUCGGCCACACUGGAACUGAGACACGGUCCAG